AGUGAUGCAGAGGGAUCCACACCCACAUGACGCAGCCUCUCCAUCUUCAGAGCACUGAGAAGUCAGGUCCUGCACCACCACCACCACCCACACUUCCCUGAAGGGAGAAGAGCUUUGUCAAAAGAUUUCCCGGUAAAUCAAAAGCACUUUGUGGAUAGGAAUAGUGUGGACCGUGCCUGAAUGAGACCUAGUUAUGUAUGUGGUGCUCUCCAAAAUGAGUUCUUGCUGGCGCCAGUCAAUCAAAUACCUAAACCCCUAAAUGAAUGAGGAAGUUUGAGAAACUGCUGUAGUAACUAGGUUAAGUUAAACAAAUACACCCAAGUUUUGCAUAGUUCUGUAUUCCUCCAAUCAAAAUAAAAUUUUCACAGCUUAGCUGCCCAAAUAUACUUGUGGCGCUAUCCUUCUUGAGGUCACGAAAUGACAUUCCUGCUAUGUGCUCUGUGCUGUGAAUACUGUGAUAACUCUACGAUUUCACAGACAUUUUCAGGGGUUUUAUGAUUCUGUGUCAGACCCUGUGAAAAGUCAGGGGAAAGAAAGACAAUGAAAAUAAUACAUUGCCCAGUCUUUUUUGUUUGUUUGUUUUUGUUUUUUUUGUUUUUUGUGUUUUUUUUUUUUUUUAGAGAUGGAGUCUCG
rnacentral:lncRNA from 10 species